rnacentral:rRNA from 1 species
AACAAACGCUGGCGGCGUGCCUAAUACAUGCAAGUCGAACGGGGAAAGCUUUCGGGUGAGUACUAGUGGCGCACGGGUGAGUAAUACGUAGAUAAUCUGCCUUCGAGUUGGGGAUAACUAGUCGAAAGAUUAGCUAAUACCGAAUAAGACCACAAGAACUGAGGUUCUAGGGGUUAAAGGUUUUUCGCUUGAAGAUGAGUCUGCGCGAGAUUAGCUAGUUGGUGUGGUAACGGCUCACCAAGGCAACGAUCUCUAACUGGUCUGAGAGGAUGAUCAGUCACACUGGAACUGUGACACGGUCCAGACUCCUACGGGAGGCAGCAGUAGGGAAUAUUGCACAAUGGGGGAAACCCUGAUGCAGCGACGCCGCGUGAGUGAUGAAGGCCUUCGGGUCGUAAAGCUCUGUCGCAAGGGAAUAAUAAACUGAAUGUACCUUGCAAGAAAGGAUCGGCUAACUUCGUGCCAGCCGCCGCAGUAA